rnacentral:rRNA from 2 species
UCGAGCGAAUGGAUUAAGAGCUUGCUCUUAUGAAGUUAGCGGCGGACGGGUGAGUAACACGUGGGUAACCUGCCCAUAAGACUGGGAUAACUCCGGGAAACCGGGGCUAAUACCGGAUAACAUUUUGAACCGCAUGGUUCAAAAUUGAAAGGCGGCUUCGGCUGUCACUUAUGGAUGGACCCGCGUCGCAUUAGCUAGUUGGUGAGGUAACGGCUCACCAAGGCAACGAUGCGUAGCCGACCUGAGAGGGUGAUCGGCCACACUGGGACUGAGACACGGCCCAGACUCCUACGGGAGGCAGCAGUAGGGAAUCUUCCGCAAUGGACGAAAGUCUGACGGAGCAACGCCGCGUGAGUGAUGAAGGCUUUCGGGUCGUAAAACUCUGUUGUUAGGGAAGAACAAGUGCUAGUUGAAUAACCUGGCACCUUGACGGUACCUAACCAGAAAGCCACGGCUAACUACUUGCCAGCACCCGCGGUAAUACUUAGGUGGCAAGCGUUAUCCCGGAAAUUAUUGGGCGUAAAGCGCGCGC